rnacentral:rRNA from 1 species
UACGAAGGGGGCUAGCGUUGCUCGGAAUCACUGGGCGUAAAGCGCACGUAGGCGGACUCUUAAGUCGGUGGUGAAAUCCUGGAGCUCAACUCCAGAACUGCCUUCGAUACUGAGAGUCUCGAGUCCGGGAGAGGUGAGUGGAACUGCGAGUGUAGAGGUGAAAUUCGUAGAUAUUCGCAAGAACACCAGUGGCGAAGGCGGCUCACUGGCCCGGUACUGACGCUGAGGUGCGAAAAGCGUGGGGGAGCAAAACAGGGAU